GCAGUGGGGAAUUUUGGACAAUGGGCGAAAGCCUGAUCCAGCCAUGCCGCGUGAGCGAAGAAGGCUUUCGGGUUGUAAAGCUCUUUCAAAUGGGAAGAAACGGACAUGGUUAAUAACCGUGUCUAAUGACGGUACUAUCAGAAGAAGCACCGGCUAACUACGUGCCAGCAGCCGCGGUAAUACGUAGGGUGCGAGCGUUAAUCGGAAUUACUGGGCGUAAAGCGUGCGCAGGCGGUUUUGUAAGACAGGUGUGAAAUCCCCGGGCUUAACCUGGGAACUGCAUUUGUGACUGCAAGGCUAGAGUACGGCAGAGGGGGGUAGAAUUCCACGUGUAGCAGUGAAAUGCGUAGAUAUGUGGAGGAAUACCGAUGGCGAAGGCAGCCCCCUGGGUCGAUACUGACGCUCAUGCACGAAAGCGUGGGGAGCAAACAGGAUUAGAUACCCUGGUAGUCCACGCCCU
rnacentral:rRNA from 1 species